GUAGGUGAACCUGCGGAAGGAUCAUUAUCGAGUUUGAAGGAGGUUGUGCUGGUCCCGUACAUGUGCACGCCUCCGAUCAUCCCUUCACACCCGUGCACUCAAUAGGAAAGGACAGAGGUUCCCCCCGUUCACGGCCGUCAAAGGCAUGGGGUUCCGCAUCCUUUACUUUUUUUACAUACACCUCGUAGUCCACAGAACGUAAUCGCGAUUUCGAUCGCAUCAACCUAUAUAUAACUUUCAACAACGGAUC
rnacentral:misc_RNA from 1 species